rnacentral:rRNA from 1 species
GACGAACGCUGGCGGCGUGCUUAACACAUGCAAGUCGAACGGAAAGGCCCUGCUUUUGUGGGGUGCUCGAGUGGCGAACGGGUGAGUAACACGUGAGUAACCUGCCCUUGCCUUUGGGAUAACUUCAGGAAACUGGGGCUAAUACCGGAUAGGAGCUCCUGCUGCAUGGUGGGGGUUGGAAAGUUUCGGCGGUUGGGGAUGGACUCGCGGCUUAUCAGCUUGUUGGUGGGGUCGUGGCUUACCAAGGCUUUGACGGGUAGCCGGCCUGAGAGGGUGACCGGCCACAUUGGGACUGAGAUACGGCCCAGACUCCUACGGGAGGCAGCAGUGGGGAAUAUUGCACAAUGGGCGGAAGCCUGAUGCAGCAACGCCGCGUGCGGGAUGACGGCCUUCGGGUUGUAAACCGCUUUCGCCUGUGACGAAGCGUGAGUGACGGUAAUGGGUAAAGAAGCACCGGCUAACUACGUG